AACGAACGCUGGCGGCAUGCCUAACACAUGCAAGUCGAACGAAACCUUCGGGUCUAGUGGCGCACGGCUGCGUAACGCGUGGGAACCUGCCCUUAGGUUCGGACUAACUCCCCGAAAGGGGUGAUAAUGCCGGAUCAGAUCUUCGGACCAAGGAUUUAUCGCCUUUGGAUGUUCCCGCGUUGGAUUAGCUAGUUGGUAGGGUAAAAGCCUACCAAGGCGACGAUCCAUAGCUGGUCUGAGAGAAUGAUCAGCCACACUGGGACUGAGACACGGCCCAGACUCCUACGGGAGGCAGGAGAGGGUGAUAGUGGACCAUGGGCGAAAGGCUGAUGCAGCUAGGACGCGUGAGUGAUGAAGGCAGUAGGGUAGUAAAGCUCUUUUAACCGGGAUGAUAAUGACAGUACCGGGAGAAUAAGCUCCGGCUAACUCCGUG
rnacentral:rRNA from 1 species